rnacentral:rRNA from 1 species
UUUUGAGUGUAAACAGCUCAUAGCUGCCGGGGGACUACGAGAGAAAUAGUCUUAAAAUCCAAAAAGCCUGGCGGUGUCUUAGACUCUUCAGGGGAACUUGUCUCUGAAUCGAUGAUCCACGAAGAACCUUACCUUGUUUUGUAAUAUCUGCUUGCAUACCGUCGUCGUCAGUCUUUGUUAAUAUAAGAUGUAAGAAAAAGGCGUAUAAAAACUUUUGUUUCUUAUGUCAGAUCAGGGUACAGCUAAUAGCAAGGGGGGGGUGAGUUACAAUUAGGAUUUAUAAUACGGAGGAUUUGGGGAAGAUUACUAAAUCUGAAGGAGGACUUGAAAGUAAAGAUGAUUUAUAAGAAUUUCUUGAACAUAGUUAGGACGUGUACAAAUCGCCCGUCGCUUUCAUUGAAAAGUGAAAUAAGUCGUAACAUAGUAGGGGUAACGGAAGUUGUUCCUAAAUA